ensembl:lncRNA
UUUGGCCUUCAGAUUAAACUUUGAUGUCUUUCCAAGUGUGUUUCAACUGCUUUCACUUAUGGACAGCUCACAAUUUCCCAGUGAAUACAGAGAUUUUUUAUCAGUGUCCCUUAUGGGGUUUACUCUGAGGAAUGUGUGGAGCUGACUUCUUUAGAAACCUUAUGUGGGCUCCAGUUGUCUGCAGACUUCAGCCUGAAAUCGUCCUCUGCUGUGUAACCAGACCAGAAGGAAACAAGAAUGGAAGAGCCAUGAGAAACUCCGUGCUUUUUACAUUGAAAACUAAAGGCCCACGUUAUUAGAUGGAUGCAGGUGUUCCUCAGCAUUGACUGUGCUUGGCAGACGUCCCACCAGCAGGGAGCAAACAGGAAGAAACCUCUUUUCAUCAGCAGAGCCCUUCCCCAACAUCUCCCUGGGAUCUGUUCUAUUACUAAGCCUUGGGAGCUUGGAAAUACCCUUUGGGCGUAAAAAUAGUGCCUGCAAAGCCAGCAGUCAGCUCCUUCUCUUGGACAAGCUGUGUGCUGUGUUGGUUUCUUUUUCUCAAUUUCCUGUUCCGAACUCUGUUCAAGGAAGCAGCGACUCUCCCUGGCCAUCCACCUGAGAGAAGAAAUUGCAAACGUGGAUUUCCUGGUAAACUGAGCUCCAGUCUGCGCUGCAGAAAUGGUCCCAGGGCGCUCGCUGGGGGAGGCCAGAAGUCAUCGCUCAUCUGCAUGGGGUGGACAUCAGCAGCAGUUCCCAAAGCAGAACUCUGUGCGUUUCCAGCCCAAACUCUGGCCUUCAGCAGUGCUCCUCAUACCCUCCCCAUUCAAUAAAUCAG